GGUGGUGCAUGGUUGUCGUCAGCUCGUGUCGUGAGAUGUUGGGUUAAGUCCCGCAACGAGCGCAACCCUUAUUAUCAGUUGCCAGCAUUAAGUUGGGCACUCUGGUGAGACUGCCGGUGACAAACCGGAGGAAGGUGGGGAUGACGUCAAAUCAUCAUGCCCCUUAUGACCUGGGCUACACACGUGCUACAAUGGGAAGUACAACGAGUUGCGAAGUCGCGAGGCUAAGCUAAUCUCUUAAAGCUUCUCUCAGUCCGGAUUGUAGGCUGCAACUCGCCUACAUGAAGCCGGAAUCGCUAGUAAUCGCGGAUCAGCACGCCGCGGUGAAUACGUUCCCGGGUCUUGUACACAC
rnacentral:rRNA from 1 species